GGAGCUGGCCGGGCGGCCGCGGCUCGGUAAUGAGUCGAGGAAAGUCCGGACUCCACAGGGCAGGGUGCUGGGUAACGCCCAGGCGGGGUGACCCGCGGAAAGUGCCACAGAAACAAACCGCCUACCGCCGAUGCCCCCGGGGUCCCCGCGGAGAGAUUCGCGGGGGGAAGGCCAAGGCGAGGCAAGGGUGAAACGGUGAGGUAAGAGCUCACCAGCGGCCGGGCGACCGGCCGGCUAGGCAAACCCCACCCGGAGCAAGGCCAAGCAGGGAGCGGGCGGCCCGUCCGAUGCUCCCGGGUAGGCUGCACGAGGGUCGCGGCGACGCGGCUCCCAGAGAGAUGGUCGCCGCCGGCGCCAGCGCCGGCACAGAAUCCGGCUUACAGGCCGGCUCCUCCA
rnacentral:RNase_P_RNA from 1 species